rnacentral:rRNA from 1 species
AUUGAACGCUGGCGGCAGGCCUAACACAUGCAAGUCGAGCGGAGCGGCGGACGGGUGAGUAAUGCCUAGGAAUCUGCCUGGUCUUUGGGGAUAACGUCCGUUAACGGGCGCUAAUACCGCAUCCUAUCAGCUGAGCCUAGGUCGGAUUAGCUAGUUGGAUUGGUAAAGGCCUACCAAGGCGACGAUCCGUAACUGCUCUGAGAGGAUGAUCAGUCACACUGGAACUGAGACACGGUCCAGACUCCUACGGGAGGCAGCAGUGGGGAAUAUUGGGCAAUGGGCGAAAGCCUGAUCCAGCCAUGCCGCGUGUGUGAAGAAGGUCUUCGGAUUGUAAAGCACUGUAAGUUGGGAGGCGGUACCAACAGAAUAAGCACCGGCUAACUUCGUGCCAGCAGCCGCGGUAAUUC